rnacentral:rRNA from 1 species
AUUGAGCGCUGGCGGCAGGCUUAACACAUGCAAGUCGAGCGGGGAAGGGUAGCUUGCUACCUAACCUAGCGGCGGACGGGUGAGUAAUGCUUAGGAAUCUGCCUAUUAGUGGGGGACAACAUUUCGAAAGGGAUGCUAAUACCGCAUACGCCCUAAGGGGGAAAGCAGGGGAUCUUCGGACCUUGCGCUAAUAGAUGAGCCUAAGUCGGAUUAGCUAGUUGGUGGGGUAAAGGCCUACCAAGGCGACGAUCUGUAGCGGGUCUGAGAGGAUGAUCCGCCACACUGGGACUGAGACACGGCCCAGACUCCUACGGGAGGCAGCAGUGGGGAAUAUUGGACAAUGGGGGGAACCCUGAUCCAGCCAUGCCGCGUGUGUGAAGAAGGCCUUUUGGUUGUAAAGCACUUUAAGCGAGGAGGAGGCUACCGAGAUUAAUACUCUUGGAUAGUGGACGUUACUCGCAGAAUAAGCACCGGCUAACUCUGUGCCAGCCGCCGCCGUAAUAC